AAUCACUGUGUGGGUUUUUUAAAAGUUGAAAUAUUUCUUGACUGAAUAUCUAGUUCACAUUGAUUUUCUAGAAAUGACCGGAAAAUUGUAAAUCUAUUAAUAUGUACACAAAACAAAGGAAAUUUAAACGUUAAAAUAGGUAAUUCUCCGAAAUGAUUAACCGGGAAGUAGUAUUACACUUCGGAGAAUCGAUCAAUGGAACGGGUUGGGUGUCAUUUUGUUUAGGACAGGAGAUGACAGAGGUUUAUAUGGACGCGGGAUUUCAAUUGGACAUUACCGAGGAUAAGAAGCGGAAUGCCCCUUGAAAUCCUGUAUUUGUAUGAGCGCUACAUCAGGUAAUAAAUAUUCAUGAAAAUCGGAUAUAGAAGGACAUUUGUACAACGCUUGGUUUUCUUGACCUCCAGACACCGUAUCUACAUAACUAUUUUAAGUAAGGAGACAACGUUGCUAAAAAUUUCAUUCUAUUUUUUUAUGAUGUAUUAUUUUUUUUUAAUUUCUUUGAUGUUUAUUCUUUUAAUUCAAAUUUUAUAUUGUUGAAAAAACGAAUGAAGACA
rnacentral:lncRNA from 1 species